rnacentral:rRNA from 1 species
AGCACCCCUUCUCCCGAAGCUACGGGCCUAUGUUGCCGAGAUUCCUUAACCGGAGAGUUCCCGCUCGACUCACCGCUGAGGCUACUCGCCUCGACUACCUUGUGCCGUUUGCCGCGUACGGUAGAUAUGACAUUUACGCCCUAGAGAGAUUUCUUGCAGAUGUGACAUCAGAGAGUUCGCACCGGUAGUUGCGUUCAGUUACAGGCUCGAAAUGUUAGAGAAGAACGGUGCAUUUGACACGAUCUCACACCUCACUGCUAGACCAAAUCCUUAAAGCUGGCAGCCUAGCCUACUCGUCCCUCCAUCACGAUGCGAUAUCUAAGUACCUGGAAGUAGGUCAACCGAGUUGGUCCAUCCGACUACGGCCCCCUGUUCAUUCGCUCGCUUAGGCUCCCGACUAACCCGAGGCGGACGAGCUGAUCCCUGGAAAACCUCAGUCUUCACGGUGGAUACCAGGAUGUCUCACUUACUAUUUGCGCUACUCAAUCAAACGGCAUUCCCACUUUCUUAACGCUGCAGCAGCUCCUCAGCGGGUAAUCCUUCAUGGCGGUAAGGAACGCUGCUCCUGACCAUUUGAGCUAAGAAUAUCAAUCCAAAGCUUCGGUAAUAGUGCGUUUAGCCCCGGUAGCCAGUGUGCGGCGCAGGGUCACUCGAUGGUGACUACUUCGCCACUCUUUUGGAAUGAUACGCUGUUCUGAGCUACACAUCGCCGUCAGUUGCUUCUGGUGCAACCCCACAAUCCUUCUUCACUUAAGCGAUAUAUGGUUUGGACCCUGUAAGCUGUUUGGCUGGGCUGUUUCCCUUCGGACGGUACGGAUGCUUAGCACCUCGCAGGUCGAAAGUGCGCGAACAUGGGUGUCCAGUAGCAUGUCGAGUUUAUCUCUCUAAAAAAAACAACUAACGGAGCAGGAAAAGGAGACGAUAAACUCCGCAUGCAAGUACACAUGUUCGGCUAGUCAGACUGCGAUGCAAGACCGUACAGAAGGAAAGCAGCCCAGACCACACGCUAAGGUCCCAAAAAUAUGAUUUCAAUGGAAAAGGAUGUGGGUUGCAACAGACAACUAGGAUGUUAGCUCAGAAGCACUAUGCAUGUCAAAGAGUGCGUAAUAGCUCACUAGUCGAGAUGACCCUGCGCGAAAUGAACCGGCGCUAAACAGUAUUACCGAAGCUUUGGAUUGAUAUUUUAAUCAUGGAAGGAGAGCGUUCUUAACCGCGAUGAAGGUAUACCGUGAGGAGUGUGGAGCGUUAAGAAGUGAGAAAAUGCGGUAUGGAGUAGCGCAAGAUCAGUGAAGAAUCUUUAUCCACCGUAAGCUGAAGGUUUCCCAGGGGAAGCUCGUCCGCCCUCUGGUGUAGUCGGACCUAAGGGAGCGAAAGGGCGUAGCCCGAUUGGACAACAUGGUUGAUAUCCAGUACUGAGAUAUGAUCGUGAUGGGAGGGACGCAGAGGCUAAGAAUGCCAUUAAUGGAUUCUGGUCUAAGCAGUGAGGUGUGCAGAUGUGUCAAAUGAACAUUUCUCUCUAACAUUGAGCUGUGAUGGGGAAAGCAACUACCGGUUGCGAACUCUCUGAUGUCAAACUGCAAGAAAGCGUUCUAGCGGUAAAGUCCAAUAUCUACCCGUACCCGCAACCCCGACACAGUACAGCGAGUAGCCCUCAGGUGAUCAGAGAACUCUCGUUAAGGAACAGGCAAAAUAGCCCCGUAACUUCGGGAGAAGGGGUGCUGGUGUAAACAGCCGCAUUGAAUAGGCCCAGCAAACUGUUUAUCAAAAAGCACAGCUCUCUGCCUAAACCGCAAGGUGAUGUAUAGGGGGUGACGCCUGCCCGGUGCUGGAAGGUUAAAGAGGAGUGCUAGACGUAAGUCGAAGGUAUGAAUUGACCCAGUAAACGGCGGGCCGUAACUAUAACGGUCCUAAGGUAGGCGAAAUUCCCUUGUCGGGUAAGUUUCCCGACCCGCCAAAGCGCCGUAAUGAUUGGCAGCUGUCUCAAACGAGAGACUCGGUGAAAUUUUAUGUACCUGUGAAGAUGCAGCGUUACCGCGACAGGACGGAGACCCCAUGGUAGCUUUACUGUAGGUUGAUAUUGGCACGUACCUGCUAGUUCAUGUACAGAUAGGUCACGAGCCAUUGAACGAUAGGGACCAGUUGUUGCCUAUUGAGGCGUUGUUGGGAUACUACCCCUGACUUAGGUUACGUCUAAGCCCGCUGGCAUAUCGGCCAGGGAACCAGUGUCGACGGACAGUUUGACUGGGGCGGCGCUCCAAAGAGACGGAGGCGCUCAAAAGGUUGGCUCAGAUUGGUUUGGGAAAUCAAUCGUAAUGGUAAAUGGAAACAGCCAGCUUGACAUGCGAGAGGCCUACAGACUCAGCAGCGUGAAAUAGAUUUAAGUGAUCCGUUACCGCAUGGAAGGCCAUCGCUCCAACGGAUAAAAGCUACCCUGGGGAAACAGGCUUAUCUCCCAAGAGUUCACAUCGACGGGGAGGCCUUUGCACUCGAUUGUCGGCUCGUCGCAUCCUGGGGCUGUUGCUCGGUCCCAAAGGGUUGCUGUUCGCCCAUUAAAGCGGCACGCGAGCUGGGUUCAGAACGUCGGAGACAGUUCGGUCCCUAUCCGUCGCGGCGUAGGUAAUUUGGAGAGAUCUGUCCUUAGUACGAGAGGACGAUGGACUUACCGCUGGUGUACCAGUUGUCCGCAGGGAGCACGGCUGGAUGCUAUGUAGGGAAGGGAUAACGCUGAAACAUCUAAGUGCGAAGCCCACCCUCAGAAGAUUACCCAUUCGUAAGAAUAAGAGCCCAGAGAGAUGAUCGGUAGAUAGGCUGGAAGUGGAAGAGUUGCGAACUGGGACGGAACCAGUACUAGUCGCUCGAGGAAACUUU